AUACUUACCUGGCAGGGGAGACACCUUGAUCACAAAGGAGGUUUUCCAGGGUGAAGUUCAUCCAUUGCACUCUGGGAGUGCUGACCCUUGUGAUUUCCCCAAAUGUGGAAAACCUGACUGCAUAAUUUGUAGUAGUGGGGGACUGCAUUUGUGCUUUCUCCUA